CCAUAAACUGCAUCUCUAUUCAUGCUGUAUUCACAUCUAAACAAAGCCUCUCUGCCGAUAAUUACAGGUUUAUGAGAUCUACAGUACUGUAACAACCAAAGUUUGAGGAAUUAAUCCAGAUCACAUUCUGUUUGAGUUCUGAACAUUUUUCUUGUACAAGUCAGUAAGUAACCACAAGAGGGUGCUAUGAGCUACAGCAUAUGAAUAGUGAUGACACUGUGGACUAUGAAACAGAUCUGAUCUGCUCUUUCAUUUAGAUCUCUGGAGGAGGGAGGGUUUAAAGCUUUGACAUCUGAUGUGAUCUUGAUAAGUGUCUGUAAGAGAAGUCUGUUCAACAGAACAUAAGGAACAAACACAAUGAUGCUCCAUUCUUUUAUUCUGCUUUCUGCACUUGCAUAUGCAACACAUGGAAAUGAAAUUAAACCAACAAAAACAGAGGAGUUCAGUGUCGAGGGUUCAAGUGUUACAUUAUCCUGCAGUUAUUCAUCUGCAUUAACUCUUUACUGGUACCGUCAGUAUCCCGGAUCAGCUCCUCAAUUCCUUGUGCUCAUCUCAGACGGUGCAAAAGAUGGUCGGAAGUCUGAUGUAGAUUCUAGAUUCACUACUGAGAUCAGAAAAGAAAAGGAAAACCAUGUGGAUCUGAUCAUCUCCUCUGCUGCAGUAUCAGACUCUGCUCUGUAUUACUGUGCUCUGGAGCCCACAGUCACAGGAAACACAAGAUCACUGUACAAAAACCUGCUUCUGCUCAGAGUGAGGAAUCAAUGAUCUUCUACAGUUCGGGAGAAAUGGGACCGUUAAUCUUGAAUUUUACCCAGAGUAUACCAAGUAGCAUCUUGCCCAUUCAAAGAAGCAUUUUGAGCAUUAUGAAAUGCAAAUGCAUUAUUAUUUAAAGUGAAAAAGUGUUUGUAUAAAACACUAUUUGCAUGUACAAAAAAUGUCCAAUGUAAAAUCAAGUCACACCUUCAGAAAUAAUGACCCGCCCUCAUGAAUCUUUUUGUUUUUAUGUGGAGUGAAACAUCAGUUACUGUAUUAUCACAAAUAGCUUGGUUUAUUAAAAUGAGUCAAAAUCUGCUAAAGCGGUAAAAAUGGAACAACAGCUUUAAAAAAUUUAUUUUUUUUUAUUGUUAUUUACAACAGGAUCUGCAUUUUCAUAGGUUUAAAUACAGUAUUUUUGAUAUAAGAGACGAAAAAAACAACUUUUUGCAUCAAAAUCACUCUGUUCCUGGUUAAAAAAAGAACUUGCGUUUCAAAAGUCAAAUAGGUUGCGACAGCUGAACGUUACAGUUUUGGCAAGCCAAACAGUCUCUGAGUAAAAUGAUUUAUUAUUCAUAUACAUUUAAGCCACAAAAUAAACUUAAUUCUGUAAAAUAAUUACUGACUGUAAAGCAAGUGCAAAUUAAAGUGUAUAACUGAUAAUCAGUGUUGAUGGAGACCUGUGGCUUCACUGUAUUUCCUCAACUGAUUGCAAACAGCAUGAUUUCACAGUUAUGUUUUUUUCACCAGGUGUGUUCAGCCUGAAGCAGCUCUGGACAGAACGAUCAGUGUACGACACCAAAGUACAGAGAGAGUGAUUAGAGAGCAGACGGCUCAGUGAAUGCUUUUGAAUCGCUCUCGCUGUACUUUGGUGUCAUUUACCGAUCGGUCUGUCCAGCGCUGCUUCAAGUCGAACACACCUAUUGUCGUGUUUAGUUUCUAGUCUUAGUUUUUAUUGUCUGUAUUUGCUUGUAUUCGAUUCAUUCAUUAGUUGUCGUUUCUCAUUAGUUCUCACCUGUUCCCUGUUUUUUUUUGAUUGCCAUCCUCUUGUGUAUAUUAGCCCUCUGUGUCUUGAGUUCAUUGUCUUGUGUUAAAGUUAUGUGUAUGCUGUCGUUCUUUGUGUUUAUAUUAUUAUUGUUUAUCCUGCAUCACACAUCAUCCUUAGAUUUAACAACAUACAACCCGUGACACGUGACUUUUUUGAAAAGUUUCUGGAUAGUAAAGGCAAUUCUGAAAUAAACAGGGCAAAUGAGACCCCAAUCCCAUAAAAGUGCAGAUGGGAGUGGAAAUUUUGUGGGUGAUUUACUGACAAUGCACAAAUUAAAGAACACAGACGCAGCCAUUUCAAGCACAAAAUGGGUUGAGACAUGCUUUUUUCAGCAUUAAAUAUUAGUACAAAUGCCAGUAUAUUGACAAAUGCAAACCUUAGUAAAUCAUGUUGCAUGAUUUAUUUAAAAAUUCUCCCUGCAUAAAUAUUGCAUCUGAAAGGAAAACUCCUAAAAAUUCAUAUGUAAUGAGGUCAGCUGCAAAAAUAACUUUCCAUGUCUUUUCAUCGCUAAUUUUUCACUGCAUGUCUUUAGUAAAUCCUGACAGUUUUUAACAGGUUUUUGCACUGGUGCAAGCUGUUAGUAAAUCUGGCCCUGAGGCUUUAUAUAAAAAAAAGUGUGUCUGUAUGUCCACUAAUAUAAAAUGUAAACAUAAGGUGUUCAAGUGUUAGAAAUACAUGAUUUCACCACUAGGAGGCAGCAUCACUUAAAGUGUCAUCAGCAGUGUGUCAUGUGAGGACCUAGAGCUACUUGAAGACUUGAAAUAUCAAGAGAAGAGCAGCAGAGAGGAAACAGAGAGCUUCAGUAAAGAUACAGAGACACAUUCAUUGAAUAUAUGUUAAA